UUUGCCAUGCCAAGAAUAAAUCAUCUAGGGC
rnacentral:piRNA from 1 species